rnacentral:lncRNA from 1 species
CUGCAACAACAACCUGCACACGAACAGAAGCUACGACUGCUUGCCUGCUACUUCUCAAAAGAAAUUUAAAUGGUUCAAAAGCCCAUCUAGCAGAAAAACUAAUGCAAGAUAGAUGUGGAGUUUAUAUCGGAGAGUCGUUCAACAGAUGGACGGAGCUUCGUGAGCUCAACUGCAGAACAGAUGAAGAGUUGGCAACGUUUCUUAUGUACAGGUAAAUGCAUGACACUUUGAAGUAUUCAUGGCGACAAUUUGUUGAAUUUAGUGCGUCCGUCGUGAUUAGGCUUUUUGCAAAUUCUAAGCGCUAAUACGCUAGCUAACUAUGAACUGUUUGCAUCGCGUUAUAAAGCUAUAAGGUUAGCCUACUGUAAACAAUGACACUGGUCACCACGGAUGUUUUUCACAACGUUACACGCACGUGUCUUGACUAUGUAUAUUUCUGUGCAUACUGGCAUUACAUCAAAUGUAGCAUUGAGAUUUGGAGACGUGCAGACAUGCAGUAGGUCUAAUGCCAAACUCUAAAUGUAGUGCUAACAUCUGAUGUUUAUUGUAUGAUAAAUGAUUGAAGGCCAGCGGGCUACAUAUGUUUUUUGAAGGAAAUGCGAUUAAAAAUAUAGCUUACUCUGUAAGAAUUUUUAAUUAGAAAUGAACAAUGUUGUUACAUUUUGUGUAAAUAUGUAUAACUAUGUUUCCAGUUACCAAACCGGAUCAGGGGCUACAACAUCUACUCCUAUAUAUAAAAAAACAACUAUUUCCUGCUGUGCCAACACUAUCGAGCAUCCACGGGGACUUAUCUGAGAGAGAUACCAAUUUUGAACAGGGACUGAACGUCUUGGAGCAAGAGGAAGCCCUUUCUUCAAGAACUGCAGAGUAAGUAAAACAUGUUUAUUAUCUGUGUAGUUGUCACACUGGUCAUUGACAAUGAAAUUAAAAUGUUGUUUUUUGUUUAGUUUACCAUCAGUUGGUUUUCCUGAGGAGGAGUACAACCACACUGUGAGGAUUUGAGCUUGUGUUUACAAAAACAAGUUUAAACCAAAACUUGUGUACAUAAUGCUAAUUUAUAAUGCUAAUGUUUACACACUGUGUUCACAGGACAGGGGCCUCUCUGAGAAGGAAAACAGAUCUGAAUGACCUUCAGUACAUCAGUGAGCAGGACACAGGGAGAGGUCCACAUUACAGAAGUGUUUACUGAUGCCCACUCACAGAUUUCUGCUCUUUCAGUAAGUGUCACCGUAUUUAUGUUAUGAAACUUGUAAUUGGACACAUCUAAAGCAAUUAUAGUUUUAAUUUUUGAAUGUAUAAACCUGACACAGGAAAUGGGAUAUACAAAGACAGAGGUGUGGAGCACACAUGAUAUGUAGCAUGGGUCUAAGAACUUGGGCAAAAAGCUACAUGCAGUAAGUAAAAUUGUGAGCUUUGUAAAAGAUGCUUAUUGUGCAUUUAUACUG